GGUGGAGCGAUUUGUCUGGUUUAUUCCGAUAACGAGCGAGACGCACCCCUACUUAAUACAUCGUGAAUAAUUUCGUUCACAGGUGUUCUUAGAGGAAUUGGCGGUAUCGAGCCGCACGAAAGUGCGCAAUAACAGGUCUGUGAUGCCCUUAGAUGUUCGGGGCUGCACGCGUGCUACACUGGAGUCUGCAACGUGUUCCAUGGCCGAAGGGUCACUGGUAAACCGUUGAAAAGAUUCCGUGAUCGGGAUAGGGAAUUGCAAUUAUUCCCCUUGAACGAGGAAUUCCUAGUAAGUGUGAGUCAUCAUCUCGCUCUUAUUACGUCCCUGCCCUUUGUAC
rnacentral:rRNA from 1 species